GCCCCUGUAGCUCAGGCGGAUAGAGCACCGGCCUCCGGAGCCGGGCGCGGGCGUUCGAGUCGCCCCAGGGGCG
rnacentral:tRNA from 1 species